rnacentral:rRNA from 1 species
UACGUAGGGGGCAAGCGUUGUCCGGAAUCAUUGGGCGUAAAGCGCGUGUAGGCGGCCAUCUAAGUCGGGCGUGAAAUCCCACGGCUCAACCGUGGAAGUGCACUCGAAACUGGAUGGCUAGAGUCCUGGAGAGGAAGGUGGAAUGCUUGGUGUAGAGGUGAAAUUCGUAGAUAUCGAGCGGAACACCGGUGGCGAAGGCGGCCUUCUGGACAGUGACUGACGCUGAGACGCGAAAGCGUGGGGAGCAAACAGG